CCUACGGGUGGCUGCAGUAACGAAUCUUCCGCAAUGCACGAAAGUGUGACGGAGCGACGCCGCGUGUGGGACGAAGUUCUUCGGAAUGUAAACCACUGUCAGGGGAAAGAAAGUUCUGAUCUACCCCAGAGGAAGAGGCGGCUAACUCUGUGCCAGCAGCCGCGGUAAUACAGAGGCCUCAAGCGUUAGGCGGAAUCACUGGGCUUAAAGCGUGUGUAGGCGGACUUCUAAGUACCUUGUGAAAUCCCACGGCUUAACCGUGGAACGGCUUGGUAUACUGGUCGUCUUGAGCCACUUAGGGGCUACCGGAACAGAUGGUGGAGCGGUGAAAUGCGUAGAUAUCAUCUGGAACGCCAAUGGUGAAAACAGGUAGCUGGGAGUGUGCUGACGCUGAGACACGAAAGCCAGGGGAGCGAACGGGAUUAGAUACCCUAGUAGUC
rnacentral:rRNA from 1 species